AGCCCGAUAGUCUAGUGGCCAAAUAAUUUUAGGUUAAGGAUUCCGCGCUCUGGACGCGGGGACGGCAGUUCGAAUCUGCCUCGGGCUA
rnacentral:tRNA from 2 species